rnacentral:lncRNA from 1 species
GACCUGUAUAUAUCUUAGAGGGGUCAGUUGUCUUGUUUGAUAAGAUCAUUAACUAAGGCUGUGGUAUUAUAGGGAACCUGCGGACUAGCGGAUUGUGUGCGAGUAGCUCGAAGAGGUUAUAGCCUGCGUACUACGAGGUGAGUCUUCUCACUAUACUUCACCCGGAAGGGUUUGACUGUUAGACCGGAAGGUCGUGUGUGUUAUAUUCAUGCUAUGUCUAGAGAGGUAGAUGCUUUAUAUGUGAUGUGUGCUUAUAUGCGAUAUAUGUUAUGUGGAUCGAAAGAUCCGGGCCGGAAGGCAAUGUUAUGUGGAUCGAAAGAUCCGGGCCGGAAGGCAAUGUUAUGUGGAUCGAAAGAUCCGGGCCGGAAGGCAAUGUUAUGUGGAUCGAAAGAUCCGGGCCGGAAGGCAAUGUUAUGUGGAUCGAAAGAUCCGGGCCGGAAGGCAAUGUUAUGUGGACCGAAAGGUCCGGGCCGGAAGGCAAUGUUAUGUGGAUCGAAAGGUCCGGGCCGGAAGGCGUAUGUGGGUAAGUCGUAUACUGGGGAACUCACUAAGCAUUUAUGCUUACUAGUUGUGUUUAUGUUUUUCAGGUACUAGUGAUGACCGUGGAAAGGCGCCGGCGUGACACGUACACACUGCCACUGUUGAAGAUCCUGGAGAUUUAUUAUUUAUAUUUUGAAACAAACUUGGAAUAAACCCUUUUGUCGAAUAAUGAUGUUUUGUUUUUAACGAAAAAUUUAUUUGAAAAUUUGAGCUGUUACAAUUGGUAUCAGAGCCUUGGUUUGAGGGAUUCGGGGGUACUUUUGGGUGCAACUGAACUCAGACCGGGGAUUUGAGGAAAAACUUUUUCUUAAAAAUGAUAAGGACGUAACAUUUUAUAAAGGGCAAGGCGGUAAAAACAAGGGUGGAACAGUGUGUACGAGCAGCCAGCGUCCGAACGGUAAAGAUCCCCAGAAUACCUUACGAUGUUAUGUUAUGCACUGAAUUAUGAAUUGUUAUGCAUGCUAGAAGACUAGGUAUACAUGAUAGGAAUAGAAUUGCCUGUUUUGUGAUGCCUUAGUCUAGGGAGAUUGCUUAUAUGAGAUAUUUGGUAGCGUGCAAGUAAAUAGUGCAUACUAGAAGUAGAGUACUCGUUAUUCGGGAUUUGGGGAGGAAGAUUUGGGACGAAUACUGAUACGGUGUGGUCGGUAGUAUUGGGCCCGUACUAUCGAAGGCACCGGAUCAGUGGAAGACUCAAAUAAGAAUCCCUGGAAAUCGGAGACUGGGUAGGGCGCGUAUCGAGUACAAUUGUACUUGGUGGAGUCUCUGAUGAUUUUAUGUUGUAUUUCAGAGACAUCAUGGUUAUCACACGCAAUGGGGCGAGUUCGAGCGGUGCGAGUGACGAGGAGAUUCGUCAGAUUAUUCAGGAAGAGGUAGCUGCGGCGGUCCGGGCUGAGAUCCCGGAGAUGUUUGGGUCUAUUAAGACCACGUUGAUGGAGGAGUUUGAGGAGCGGUGCGCCGCAAUUUCUGAAGCUGCAGUUGCUGCCGCUACCGCAGCGGUGGCUGCUGCCAGGCCGCAAGGGGGUGAUUCAUUACUAUUCAGGGAAUUCAGCAACACGAAACCCCCUGAAUUUGAUGGGACGCAGGAUCCGAUUGCAGCUAUGAGGUGGAUCGCCGACAUCGAGGGGUGCUUCUAUACUUGCUCAUGCCCGGAGCACUUGAGGGUACGGUUCGCCUUGAACCAGCUCCGUCUGGGAGCGAAGGAUUGGUGGAAGUUCGUGACGGCGAACUUCACUCAGGCAGAGAUUACGGCGGUGACAUGGGAGAGGUUUACGGAGAUGUUCAGGGAUGAGUACGUUCCCCCGGUAGAGAGGGAGCGAUUGAUUCAGGAGUUCUUGACCCUUAAGCAGGGUACUGAUUCCGUGGCAGUGAUCACACGGAAGUUUCAUGAGAGGGCAAUGUUCUGCCCCGAGCUGGUAUCUACGGAGCAGUCGCGGAUGAGCCGCUAUUUGGGUGUUUUGAAGAGGGAGAUUCGGGAGUUUGUGUCAAACUCCACCUAUCGUACUUUCACUGAGCUUCAGGCGAACGCCAGGAAGCGCGAGAUUGAGUUGGAGACUCAAGCGAGGGAGGAGGCUGAGUCUCGGCAGGUGGAUCGACGGCCGGCCCAGUCUCAGCCGGCAGCCAAGCGGACUAAGUUCGCUGAUUCGAGGAUGGGAGGUUCGAAGGGUCGCACUUGCGCGAAGUGCGGCAAGAGUCACGAGGGGGCGUGUCGAGCUGGUGGUUGCUACAAGUGUGGCAAGGAGGGACAUAUUGCCAGGGAUUGCCCUAAGGGGUUUAUGGUUUGCUUUCACUGCAACCAGACAGGCCAUCGGAAGGCCGAGUGCCCGCAACUUCGUCAGGGAGCUACACCUACUACCCGGACUACUGAGACCCGACCGGCGAAGGUCGAGGCCCCGAGGGCUCGCGGGAGAGCCUUUCAGCUGACUGCGGAGGAGGUCCGCGCUGCGCCCGAUGUUGUGGCAGGUAUGUUAUCAUUCAUGUAUUUAAUUAAAGGUCGAAAUGUUAUGCUUAUGUUAAUGUAUGUGUAGGUACUUUCCUUGUGAACUCUAUGCCUGCUCUAGUAUUAUUUGAUUCGGGUGCGAGUAGAUCGUUUGUAUCGUUAGCUUUUAGUCAGCACAUCGGCAUUAGUCGUGAGCCGUUAAGUCGGCCUUUGAGCGUUUCCAUUGCGGCUGAGAGGGUGAUUUGUGCUACGGAGGUUUUUCGGGGAUGUGUGCUAGAGAUCUUCGGGGUCGCAUUUCCGAUUGACCUAAUUCCUAUUGCGAUGGGUGAUGUCUGUGUCAUUGUAGGCAUGGACUGGUUGAGCCGAUUCAGCGCUGUCAUCGACUGCGAGCGUCAGUUGGUGACUAUACGAGACCCUAGUGGGGGAGUUCUUACGGUGUACGGCGAGGGUACCCGUUCGAGAUCAGCUUUUUGUUCGGCUGCUAGGGCGAGGCAAUGCCUACAGCGGGGAUGUAACGGUUUCGUGGCGUAUGUGAUGGAUACGCGGGAGAGUUCCGAGAGACCGAAGACAUUGCAGGAGGUUCCAGUGGUGCGCGAGUUUCCAGAUGUUUUCCCCGAGGAUUUGCCGGGAAUACCUCCUGCGAGGCAAGUGGAGUUUGGUAUCGACCUAGUUCCAGGGGCGGCGCCUAUUGCGAAGGUGCCUUAUCGUCUUGCACCUCCAGAGAUGCAAGAAUUGUCCUCGCAACUUCAAGAGUUGUUGGGGAAGGGAUUUAUUCGGCCGAGUAGCUCGCCGUGGGGAGCACCGAUUCUGUUCGUCAAGAAGAAGGAUGGUUCACACCGGAUGUGUAUCGAUUACCGGGAACUGAACAAGGUGACAGUUAAGAACCGCUAUCCGUUACCAAGAAUCGAUGAUCUAUUCGAUCAGUUGCAAGGGGCAUCUUGGUUUUCCAAGAUUGAUUUGAGAUCAGGGUACCAUCAGGUAAGGGUGCGGGAUGAGGACGUCCAGAAGACAGCCUUUAGGACGCGGUAUGGGCAUUACGAGUUCGUGGUGAUGCCUUUUGGGCUCACCAAUGCCCCAGCAGUGUUCAUGGAUCUCAUGAACAGGGUAUGCAGGCCGAUGCUGGAUCGGUCUGUGAUUGUAUUCAUCGACGACAUUCUGGUGUAUUCGCGGUCUAGGGAGCAGCAUGAGGGACAUUUGAGGGAGGUCCUUGAGGUACUGAGGUCGGAGAAGCUAUAUGCAAAAUUCUCCAAAUGUGACUUCUGGUUACGGGAGGUUCAAUUUCUGGGGCACGUUGUAAAUCAGGCAGGGAUAUUGGUCGAUCCGGCCAAGGUGGAGGCGGUGAUGAGAUGGGAGGCACCAAAGUCACCUUCGGAGAUCAGGAGUUUCCUUGGGUUGGCAGGGUACUAUCGAAGGUUCAUUAGGGACUUCUCCAAGAUCGCAGUGCCACUUACCAAAUUGACCCGAAAGGGUGUUACAUUCUCAUGGGGACCCGAGCAGCAGACUUCCUUCGAGACACUUCGUCAGAGACUGUGCGAAGCACCAGUAUUAGCCCUUCCUGAAGGGAUGGAGGACUUCGUCGUAUAUUGCGACGCAUCGAUUUCAGGACUGGGUGCAGUGUUGAUGCAGAGGGGCCAUGUGAUAGCCUAUGCAUCGAGGCAGCUGAAGCCUCACGAAGCGAGAUAUCCCACGCAUGACUUAGAGUUGGGGGCAGUAGUGUUCGCCCUCAAAAUUUGGCGUCACUACCUGUACGGGGUUCGUUGUACCAUAUACACGGACCAUAAGAGUUUGAAGUAUUUGAUGGAUCAACCCAACCUAAACAUGCGCCAGAGGAGAUGGUUAGACGUGGUUAAGGAUUAUGACUGUGAGAUCCUAUACCACCCAGGCAAGGCUAAUGUGGUAGCCGAUGCAUUGAGUCGUAGGGCGGAGGGUACUCCAUUGCGGGACGUAUGUUUGAGAUUGACGGUGGUGACUCCGGUAUUAGAUACUAUUCGUGGGGCACAGGCCGAGGUUGUGAAGUCUGGGAUGCAGAAACAGGAGCGGGUCGUCGGGUUAAUUUCAGAGUUCGUUACGGAUGGGCGGGGACUUCUGACAUUUCAGGGUCGGAUCUGGGUGCCAUUCGUGGGCGGUACGCGUGUCAUUUUGAUGGAGGAGGCACAUAGAUCGAAAUUCUCGAUCCAUCCCGGUGCUACGAAAAUGUAUCUGGAUUUGAAAAAGGAGUACUGGUGGCCUUGCAUGAAGAGAGACGUUGCGUGGUUCGUGGAGAGGUGUUUGACCUGCCGUAAAGUUAAGGCCGAGCACCAGAGACCGCACGGUAAGUUGCAACCCUUGGAGAUCCCUGAGUGGAAGUGGGAUCAGAUCACGAUGGAUUUCAUCACCAAAUUGCCGAAAACUGCCAGGGGAGUCGAUGCGAUUUGGGUGAUUGUGGAUAGACUAACAAAGAGUGCACAUUUCCUUGCCAUUAGUGAAAGUUCAUCAGCAGAGAAGUUGGCGGAGUUGUACGUGAGAGAGAUAGUAUCUCGGCAUGGAGUGCCGACCUCGAUUGUUUCGGACCGCGAUGUACGUUUCACUUCCAGGUUCUGGAAGAAAUUCCAUGAGGAGUUGGGUACUAAACUGCAUUUUAGUACCGCAUACCAUCCCCAGACCGACGGUCAAAGCGAGCGGACGAUCCAGACAUUGGAAGAUAUGCUUAGAGCGUGUGUGUUAGACUUCGGGGGUAGCUGGGAUGCGCAUCUGCCGCUGGCUGAGUUUUCCUACAACAACAGCCAUCAUUCGAGCAUUGGUAUGCCACCUUUUGAGUUGUUGUAUGGUAGGAGGUGUCGGACUCCCAUUUGCUGGGGAGAAGUGGGACAGAGAGUGAUGGGCAGUACAGAGAUCGUACUUCAAACGACUGAACAGAUCCAACGGGUGAGGCAGAGGUUAUUGACCGCCCAGAGCCGACAGAAGAGUUAUGCGGACAGACGCCGGUCCGAGCUCGAAUUCCAGGUCGGCGACUUCGUUCUCCUAAAGGUUUCUCCUUGGAAAGGGGUGAUUCGGUUCAGGAAGAGGGGCAAAUUGGGGCCCCGGUUCAUAGGUCCAUUUCGGGUAAUUGCAAGGGUAGGUCGGGUAGCUUAUCGGUUGGAGUUGCCAGCGGAGCUGAAUCAGAUUCACAAUACCUUCCACGUAUCACAGCUGAGGAAGUGUAUAGCCGAUGAGGCAGCAGUGGUUCCGUUAGAAGAUAUCCAGGUAGAUGCGAGUCUGAAUUACGCCGAGAGACCAGUAGCUAUCAGGGAUCGGAAGAUCAAGGUUCUACGGAACAAGGAAAUACCUCUGGUGUUGGUUCAGUGGCAACAUCGGAAGGGAUCGGAGAUGACUUGGGAGCCGGAAAGAGAAAUGCGGGAGCAACAUCCGGAGUUAUUCGCAGAAUGAGAGACUUCGAGGGCGAAGUCUAGUUCUAGUGGGGGAGAGUUGUAACAGCCCGGAAUUUCAGGUAUUUCUUUAAAUUAUUUUUGGGGCACAUUUAGGAGGGGACUCGGCGAGUUGGUGCACGACUCGCCGAGUAGGGCCAUGGUCUUGGUCGCAGACGCGCGACUGGACUCGACGAGUCCAAUAAGGGACUCGGCGAGUCGACGCCGUUCAGCUGAACCCUAGCCGUUUCAUUUCUGAUCGUAUAUAACGAUCUUAUGGCCGUCAUGUCGCGUCUUUUGGCCGGUUGAAGAUCCCCUGGGAGUGUGUGAGCAUCUGAAGCAAGAGAGAGGACUUGAGAAGGCUUGAAGAGAUUGUUAGACAAGGAGGAGCAAGGUGGUGAUCAAAGGAAUCGAGUACUGGAGGUUUGGAGACACAGGGAACACGUUUCCAGGUAAUCUUCGGAUCGAAAUCUGUAACUUUUACGUUGUAUGCGAGUUUAGGGUUUAGGAAACCCAAUUAAGGGUUAGUUAGAUUAUAUUGUUGUUAUAAGUGUUAAAAAACCCCGUAAUAGUAUAUGUGAAAGUCCAGGAAGCCCUAUAUCUAUAUACUUCGAAAUCAUGCGAAAUACAGGAGGCAGCGGAUUGACUGCAUGGCGAGGACUCGCCGAGUCCAAUGAUCAGACUCGGCGAGUAGCUUGAAGAUUCACUAGAACUCGCCGAGUUGUUCUUCAGACUCGGCGAGUAGCUUGAAGGUUCACUAGGACUCGUCGAGUUGUUCUUCAGACUCGGCGAGUAGCUUGAAGAUCUACUGGAACUCGUCGAGUCGUUCUUCAGACUCGGCGAGUGGUGUCAGGAUGUCUAUACUCGUCGAGUUACCCUUUGCACUCGACGAGUCCGGUCAAGAUUGACCGUUGACCUGUAUAUAUCUUAGAGGGGUCAGUUGUCUUGUUUGAUAAGAUCAUUAACUAAGGCUGUGGUAUUAUAGGGAACCUGCGGACUAGCGGAUUGUGUGCGAGUAGCUCGAGGAGGUUAUAGCCUGCGUACUACGAGGUGAGUCUUCUCACUAUACUUCACCCGGAAGGGUUUGACUGUUAGACCGGAAGGUCGCGUGUGUUAUAUUCAUGCUAUGUCUAGAGAGAUAGAUGCUUUAUAUGCGAUGUGUGCUUAUAUGUGUUGUAUGAUUAUACGGGCCGGAAGGCGAGACUUAUGUGUUAGAAAGAACGGUAUGAUAUAUGUGCUUUAUGUGUUAGAGUAUUUGUAUUAUGUGUUAUAUAUGUGUAUGGGCCGGAAGGCAGUUAUCUUGUGGAUCGAAAGAUCCGGGCCGGAAGGCAAUGUUAUGUGGAUCGAAAGAUCCGGGCCGGAAGGCAAUGUUAUGUGGACCGAUAGGUCCGGGCCGGAAGGCAAUAUUUUGUGGACCGAAAGGUCCGGGCCGGAAGGCGUAUGUGGGUAAGUCGUAUACUGGGGAACUCACUAAGCAUUUAUGCUUACUAGUUGU